rnacentral:rRNA from 1 species
AUGCAGCAGCUCAGUUGGUUUGGUGUCAGAAGCAUUGGGGUUGAUGCAGCCAAGGUAAAGAAGGGCGGAAAAGGUGGCGUGGGUGAUGCUAAAACCUCUUGUGCUCAGCAAAGAAAUGAAGUGUACAACUCCGUUUGGGCCAAUAUCCUGGAGGAGGGUUCCAAUGCAGAUUCUGAGUGCCCUGGCUGGCAGUGGGACCUGGUUGGGAAGCAUCCCCUACUGAGCGAGCUUUGGGGGAAAGAUGCCAAGGCACAGCCUUGUGAAGACCUGAGGUGUUUCGUCAAGUUGGACAACUAGGAUCGUCUUAAGGGAAAGAAGCUCUCACCUGCUAAGAACUAA